UACGGAGGAUCCGAGCGUUAUCCGGAUUUAUUGGGUUUAAAGGGUGCGUAGGCGGUUUGAUAAGUUAGAGGUGAAAUGUCGGGGCUCAACCCCGAAACUGCCUCUAAUACUGUUGGACUAGAGAAUAGUUGCGGUAGGCGGAAUGUAUGGUGUAGCGGUGAAAUGCUUAGAGAUCAUACAGAACACCGAUUGCGAAGGCAGCUUACCAAACUAUAUCUGACGUUGAGGCACGAAAGCGUGGGGAGCGAACAGG
rnacentral:rRNA from 1 species